rnacentral:rRNA from 1 species
UGAACGCUGGCGGCGUGCCUAAUACAUGCAAGUCGAGCGAACAGACGAGGAGCUUGCUCCUCUGACGUUAGCGGCGGACGGGUGAGUAACACGUGGAUAACCUACCUAUAAGACUGGGAUAACUUCGGGAAACCGGAGCUAAUACCGGAUAAUAUAUUGAACCGCAUGGUUCAAUAGUGAAAGACGGUUUUGCUGUCACUUAUAGAUGGAUCCGCGCCGCAUUAGCUAGUUGGUAAGGUAACGGCUUACCAAGGCAACGAUGCGUAGCCGACCUGAGAGGGUGAUCGGCCACACUGGAACUGAGACACGGUCCAGACUCCUACGGGAGGCAGCAGUAGGGAAUCUUCCGCAAUGGGCGAAAGCUUGACGGAGCAACGCCGCGUGAGUGAUGUAGGUCUUCGGAUCGUAAAACUCUGUUAUUAGGGAAGAACAAAUGUGUAAGUAACUAUGCACGUCUUGACGGUACCUAAUCAGAAAGCCACGGCUAACUACGUG